GAUGAACGCUAGCGACAGGCCUAACACAUGCAAGUCGAGGGGCAGCACAUGAGUAGCAAUACGAUGGUGGCGACCGGCGCACGGGUGAGUAACACGUAUGCAACCUGCCUGUAAGAGGGGAAUAACCCGGAGAAAUUCGGACUAAUACCGCAUAAUACCACGAGACUGCAUGGUUUUGUGGUUAAACAUUUAUGGCUUACAGAUGGGCAUGCGUAUGAUUAGAUAGUUGGUAGGGUAACGGCCUACCAAGUCUACGAUCAUUAGGGGUUCUGAGAGGAAGGUCCCCCACACUGGUACUGAGACACGGACCAGACUCCUACGGGAGGCAGCAGUGAGGAAUAUUGGUCAAUGGGCGAGAGCCUGAACCAGCCAAGUCGCGUGAAGGAAGAAGGUUCUAUGGAUUGUAAACUUCUUUUGCAGGGGAAUAAAGGACGGUACGUGUACUGUUUUGUAUGUACCUUGCGAAAUAGGAUCGGCUAACUCCGUGCCAGCAGCCGUAC
rnacentral:rRNA from 1 species